rnacentral:lncRNA from 1 species
ACACAACCAUUGAGGAAAUAUCUAAUUAAAUACUACAAGUUAACAUGAUACAUCAUUACUGAGUUCGUCACUCUUGGUACAUUUGAAGAAUGAGAUCAAGAUGUCUUUCAAUGAUUAACAAUGAGAUAAAAUUUGCGAUAGAAAAGGGAUAGUGAAUUCUAAAUUCUAAUUCAGCAAAGUUUCAAGUGAAACGUACUCUUAAGGGCACAAUAGUAAUUUUUAUUGUUAAGAGUAUGUAGCACUACUAUGGCAUACAUUCAAAAUUGCUUGAAGUAUAUUUCAUUGAUUAUAUGGAUGAAUCUAACCUUAAGAUGCAGCAAAGUGUGGAAUGAGUCGACCC